rnacentral:tRNA from 1 species
UGAAUGUUAGUCUAAACAAGACAAUUAAUUUCGACUUAAUAAACCCAGAAUUUAACCUGGACAUUCAC